GGCAAGUUGCUAGGUUUCAUUGUACAGCGUGGGAGGUUUGUUUUUUCGCUUUUUACUAUAAAUCUUGCUGCUGCUCACUCUUUCAGUCUGCACUGCGUUUAUGAGCUGUGACACUCACCGUGAAGGUUUGCAGCUUCACUCCUGAGGCCAAUGAGACCACGAACCCACUAGGAGGAAUGAACAACUCCAGACAAGAAGAACGAACUACUCGCGCCGCCUUAAGAGCUGUAACACUAACCACGGAAGUGUGGAGCUUCACUCCUGAAGCCAGCGAGACCACAAACCGACCAGAAGGAAGAAACUCUGAACACAUCUGAACGUCAGAAGGAACAAACUUUGGACACGCCAUGUUUAAGAACUGUAACACUUACCGCGAGGGUCCGUGGCUUCAUUCUCGAACCAUUCAACAUAGUGCAUCAGAAGUGAUCUUUCAACACAUCCAGUACAUGAACAAACGAAAAACGCAUGUUACAAAGCAUUACAGAGGUAAAAUCAUAAAUAUAGUCCCUGAAUUUCAUGGCCACCUGAUCUUAACAUGAAGCUCAUAUUAAAGCCAU